AUCCAGUUGACGAGUCCCAAAUAGGAUAGAACGUGCGUCCUGAAU
rnacentral:hammerhead_ribozyme from 1 species